UCCAGUACAAGAACUUCUGCCCUUAAAAAUUAUAUCAGAGCUGGGCUAACCUUGAGUAAAGAAGCUCAGUGACAGCAUUUAGGCCCUGAGUUCAAGCACCAAGACCAGCACACAACCAAAAACAGAUUAUAUCAGAGAGGCAGUGCGUGUGUGUGUGUGUAUGUGUGUGAGAGAGAGAGAGAGUGUGUGUGUGUAUGUGUGCUCAUGAUUCUGUUUUAUGAUCAUCAAACUUUUAAAUCAGUUACAUUGUUUUUUUCCCAUUCAAUACACCAUAACAAGACAGCAAACGUACUUAGUAACAUUACACAUGAACACUAUACAAACUAUGAUGGCAGGCCACUAUUGGACCAUGAAAAAAAAAGAAUAUUUCCCUACACAAGAUUCAAAUUUGAUCUAAUCUAGGUCAGCAUAAUUGAAAUUCUAACAAACAGUAGAAAAGGAGAUGGGUAAGGGGUAAAUAACUGAGACCUAUCUUGUUUACAAUUCCCACAGACAGGUGAAAUUCAAUUUCAUGCCAACUAUACCCUUCAAUCACUAAAACACAAACAAUAAAUAAAUAGAUAAACAAAUGUCCAUGCAAUAUAAGCAGGUCUUGCAAUUCUAAAAGGUGUUCUCUUCAUCACCACAACAGUGGUUGAGCUGUCAGCAAAAAGGCCAUAUAGAUGGGAGUUUAAAAAUAGGUAACCAACUGGAUGCCAGUGGCUCACAUCUAUAAUCCAAACUAUAAAGGAGGCU